ACGCUCGACACCUACGAGAGGCAGCAGUGGGGAAUAUUGCACAAUGGGGGAAACCCUGAUGCAGCGACGCCGCGUGAAGGAAGAAGUAUCUCGGUAUGUAAACUUCUAUCAGCAGGGAAGAAAAUGACGGUACCUGACUAAGAAGCCCCGGCUAACUACGUGCCAGCAGCCGCGGUAAUCUGAGCGGGCUGGCAAGGC
rnacentral:rRNA from 1 species